GAGAGUUAGCUUGAGUCGCGCAGGUGUGUAGAGAUCUUAGGAGUCAUGCAACAUCAAAGAGAGGAAACAGCUGAGAGAGAGAGAGAGAGAGAGAGAGAGAGAGAGAGAGAGAGAGAGAGAGAGAGAGAGAGAGAGAGAGAGAGAGACCAUACAAAUCCAUCAACAUUAACUAAAAAAAAAAAAAAAAAAUAAAAAAAAAACACUCUGAAUCUACAUACAUUUUUCCAUAGUCAGUUUCGAGACACUGAAUUUGCUAAACUAAAAUUCUGGAGUCUGGAAUGAAAGGAAGAGGAGGAGGAGGAGGAGGAAGAAGAAGAAGAAGAAGAAGAAGAAGAAGAAGAAGAGUGCCAUGGAAGGAAAGGGGGGAGGUGCGUGAGGAGGGGGAUGGGGGCGCUGUCUGGUUAGGGGUGGAGGAGGGACAGCCGCCUCAGUAACGUCUAGACACCGGCGCGUGAAGUAUCUGCGCUCCCCUCUCGUCUGUGUUUGCGCUUUUCUAACGGGAUCACAAAACCGCGUGCAGCUUGCUGCUCACUGUCCUCAACAUUCACUCUGUCACAAGGAAGCCAUUGGUGAUUUCAAGGACAGACAGACACACGUGUCUUGUUGAUGGGCGUGAUGCGCUGCCUGGCGGCGUGAGGGUGUGUGGUGGGCGGGGCGGGGCAUGGCGCCCACCGACCCUGGACACGUGCCGGGGACAGGCGUGGGGGGCGCCCUCGGAGGCACUGAGGGCCACCACGACGGUGGGUAGGAACACCUGCCUCCCUUCCGCCCCUGCUACUGCCCCUCCUCCUCUCGCUGUCUGUUCUCCCCGUGUGGAGGGCGGUGCUGCCCCUGCACGUACUGGUUCCGCACACCCUCGUGCCUCGCUCCGCCCACACACGCACACGCAAGGCGUCCCUCACACACUCGUUGCCAAAGCUUCUAAAAACAAUCACUACGACCUCUGCUUCCUGCCGGCGAGCAGAGUGCCGCCCCUCCCCCCUGACCGGUAGCCCCGCCCCACCCCGCCACUCCCGCACCCUGAGACGUGGCUAACUUCGGGCUUCGCGGGCUGCCGGGGUGGCCGCUGCCCCCGCCUCCCUUGAUCGAGGGCGUAGACCGGCGCACCCACCGUCAGGCCAAGAACUGGAAUGUCAAACACCAGCAGAGCCUCGAGGGGCAGCGGGAGCGC